UGAAGGUUAAUGAUCUGCAUAUGGAAUUCUUGACAGUCUCCGAAUAUCUAGUGGAGGUAUCAGAUGAUCUGUGAGUAACUUUCCUUUAGUAUUUAUGCGAGCCACUGAUGUCCUUUUAUACACAACGAAUGAUUACACGUUUACAUGCUGUUGAUUAUCAUUCUCUGCUGAUUGAUUUGGAGAUUAUGAUGCAUCAGGUUUGACUAUGAGGAGGAUGUGCUGGAGAAUAAUUUCAAUAUCUUGCGCAUGUUUGUCAGAAUAUAUGGUGUUUCUGCGGCCCCCACCAUGCUAGCUAAAUGUAUUGCUGAGGCUGAAGAGAAGUAUGAAAAGCUGUCAAAAGCUUUGGAUCCCGAGUUGUAUUCGAGUUACAAAAUAAGAUGUGAAGAAGCCACCAGGGAAGUGAUUAUUUUCAUCCAUUUGCAUCAAAUUACUCUUCCGAUCUUCUUUUUUCUAAAAAAUGGUGAAGAAAGCGGCACCGAAGAAUCCGGCAGCGAAGAAACCGGCAGCGAAGAAACUUGAAUUCGACAAUUCCGUCGCUGAAAUGGCUGUUGAAGCUCCUCGAAGGCGAGGAAGAAGGCCAAAUGCUGUUUCUGAAGAAAUUCCUGUUGCUAAGGAAUCUGUGUCUAUAAAGAAGAACAAAAAGGCUGGCAGUCCGAAAUCAAAAGCAAUUGCGCUUGUAUCUGAAAAAGAACCAAUUGAAGAAGAACAACCUAAUCAACUAGUUUUACAAAAUUCUUCUCUGGUUGACGUUCCACAGCCUGAAUCUCAUCAACUUCAUUCACAAGUUUUGAAAGAAGUUGGCGCUGAUGGCCUGCCUAUCGUGUUUAAUUUUGAUACACAAUGUUCAGGAGGAUCAUUGUGUAAAUUAAUUAAAGACUUCUCUCCUGAUCAAAAGGCAGUUGUUCAAGAGAUAGGGUUUGGAGGAUUGUUAGGCCUUCAAUUAAGUCGAAAAAACACUCAGAUGAUGUACUGGUGCAUCAAGUGCUUUGAUGGUGUGAGUUCUCUGUUUACAAUCAGUGAUUCCAAGCAAUUUGAAAUCACUGAUUAUGAUGUGUACGAUUUGUUUAUGCUCCCCCUUUCUGAGCUGGAGGUUGAAGGGGUUAAACGUGGGCGCAAUUCCACUAAUCCUGAUUUUGAUUUGAAGAUCAAGUGGAGAAAAGAGUUCGGUUUUGAAGAGGUCAAUGCUCAAAUUCCUAUAAGGUUGCUUGAGGACAAGAUUAAAUUGUUGACAGAUGGUGGUGAUCUGUUUAAACAAUUAUUUGUUUUUGUUGCUUUCUCUACAUUUUUUACUCCAACAGCCAAUAGGACUGUAGAUUUGAGAUUGGCUAAGGCUUUGGAAGAUCCUAAAAUGAUUUCCAAAUACAAUUGGUGUAAAUACGUUCUUGACGUAUUAUGUGAGGAAACAGUGAAAUUUAAAAAUAGUUUAUUGAAAGGCAAAGAUCAAAAGACAUUUGGAGGCUGUGUUGUGUUUUUGCAACUUGUGUAUUUUCAGAGGAUUAAGUUUAGGAAUUCCAGUGGUAUUCCUGAUCAAUUACCUCUUAUUCAGCAUUGGACAUCGAAGAUGGUAACCGAUCGGAUUCAUGCUGAAAAUGCCAAUAUGAGUGCAUUAUAUGGUUCUGGUAUAUUGGAGAAGGGGAAGUAUCCAAUUUCCAAAAAGUUUGUUUUUGUUGAUGGUCAAAUAGAUUUGACCCAAAUCAAAUCUAUUUCGAAAGAAAAUGAAGCAGGCAGCAGUGGGGGAAGAGCUGAACAACCCUAUGUUGGGCGUCGAAUUCCAAGUCGGCGUCCUAGGAUUCUUCAGUUUGAAAUCCCUAAUUCUCAUCCUACAGAUGAAGAAAUUUUCUCUAAAGCCACUGAUGAUUUUCAUGGUCAGUGGUUGUUGAUGAAGAGAGAUCUGGAUGUAGUUUCAGCCAUCCAUGCUGAAGAGCUGUUCAAAUUAAAGGCUUCAAUGCCUUCGCAGAACCAUGGCGAUGAUAUUUUGGAAAAUUCCACUUAUCAAAAGAUGGUUGAUGAGUUGGUGGAGAUUCAUCAGUUGGUGAAGAAUCUACCAAAUGGUUGGAAUGACAUUUUUGGUUCAAGUAACAAUCCAGUUGUUACUGCUGCCCUCAACCUUCUGCCGUUGUUCCAACUGAGCCUGCAGUUGUUACAGCUGCUGUUGUUGAUGCAACAACAUCUACCGAAGCAAUUAUUCGAGAAGUUGAUCCUGACACUCAAAUAAAUGCAGUUCUUGAUUCUUUGAAAAGCAAAGAUAAAGAAAUUACGGAGGAUGAUGAUGAAGAAAUAGAAGAAUAUGAGCGCGUGUGGGCUGGAUUUCAAAAAUGCAUCAUUAACAACCAUGCUGUAUCAAGAGUGAAUGUCAGUGUCUAUGGCAUAGAGGAAAAUGUGAUGUUUAUGUCUCCGUUUAUGAUAGCAUUUGAAGAUUUAAUGAGGCAUCUUCCAACAUUUGUUCAAGAAGCUGUGGACUUUGCUGCUCUGACUGAUGGAGAGGGUAUUUUGACUGAUGAUAAAGUUAUAGAAUACAAUCAUUUUAUUGCGGUAGGAAGAGAUGACAUGUGGACCCUUCCUUCCACAUUUGAUAUUCUUUUGAUUCAUAUUGAAGCUUGGGCUUUUUUAUUGAAUGAAAAUGAAAGGAAUCCUGCUGGUUCUCCUCAGAAGCUGUUUUUAGGUGGCACAUAUUGUAAAUAUGUUGCUGAUUUGAUUGAGAAACCAGGCAAUGAAAAAAUCUUGUCUGAAUUAUGUGUUUGUCUUAAUUAUGGUGUGAAAGAUGUAAAUGGAGUUCAAUCGUUGAAAGAUUGU